rnacentral:lncRNA from 1 species
AAAAUAAUAAUAUAUUCCAUUUUGGCUUUAAAAUUGACAGGUUUUCUAAAAAGAAACAGAAAAUUUAAACAAAGUAUGGUCAAUUGAAUCUGUUCUUAUGGCGUGUCUAUUUUUUGUUUACUGGACACAAAAGUUUUAGAGCAUUUCAAGCUCGAGUUCAAUCAGAGAGUGUUUGCUUCUUGUCAUAGUUUGGUCGGUUAAUGUUGACGUAACAAUAUAUUACUGCCGGACACCAACAAAUCUUUUUGCACGACUAAAGCCAAAUAACUGGAGUGAAAGAUUGGAGUGGAUUGAUUUUGGAGUUGGAAAAGGAAGACAAUGAUAUCAACACAUUCCAGAUGGUGUAUCAUCAAAUUUACCAUUCUUUCAUGCCUUCACCGAAUGUGACACAGUAUCAACAUUCUGUGGGAUUGGAAAACGAACGGCGUGGAAAGCGUGUAUGAAAUACCGAGUAGUUGAUGCUGCAUUUCACAAUCUUUCAACGUCAGACUUAAAAAAUUAUGUCUUAACAGAUACGGCAAUGAAAAUAAUUGAGCGAUUUGUAGUAUUGAUGUACAGUAGAUCAUCAACCACUGCUGGCGUUAACGAAUGCCGCCGUAUCUUCUACACUAUAAAGAAUAGAGCAAUUGAAAACAUUUCGCCGACUGCAGACGCUGGAGCACACAAAGAGAGAAGCACUGCAGGCACACUUAUGGAAACAAUGCUUGUCCUGUUACUCCAGGAUAUAUACCCACUGAAUGGGAAUGGAAAGAUACAGCUGAUGACUGCUAUAUACCACUUUGGUGCACUCUGCUGGAGGUUUCUCGACAUUGCCAGGAACUAAUUCGUUGUUCGUACAAAACUGAGUGUAAAAACUGUUCAUGUAAACGACAUGGUUUACCAUGCACUAAGCUGUGUGCAUGUAACAGCAAUUGUUACAAAGAAUCAAAUGGUGGCUCAUAUAGAGAGUAAGAAGUUGAAGAAGACCCGGAAUUUGACCAUGUUCUCCAGAUCUCCUUUCAUAGUAAUCCAAAAGUGUAUUGUAAAUAUGUAAAUAUUUAAAAACGUUAUUUUGUUUACAAUACCGCUAUUAUACUUUACCAAUUACACUAAAGAAGUUCGUUUAUGUCUUAUUGGCGACCAAUACUUGAUUACUUUUUAGUUCCUUAUUUUAACACAUCUAACAAGUUUUGAGAUUUGUCUUAUAUUUUCUAUAUAAAAAUGAUGAGUUAUGUAUUUUUUUGAUCAGCAUUCUAGUGUGUUGAUAACUGUUAACGAUACCAAAAUCUCAUUAUUUUAAGAUGCUUCCUGAGCAUAUUGUCAAUUCCUAUCUUACCCACAGAUAUUGUGAUAGUCCUUUAUCACUGUUAUCUUUUAAUUGAUUUCAUUUAGUAUUUACUGUAACUUACUUGAAGUGCAUUGCUUAAAUACUGUGAGUAUGUAGAUAAUAUAUGUGGCAUUAUUAUAAUGUGAUGAUAAACAAAGCCAUAGAAUGCCGUUAUUUGAUGAUUUAUGUUUCAACAAAUGUCUGCCAUUAACUGGAGAAUUACAUGAAUCUUGGUAUCCUGAUGCUUUAUUUCUUAUCGAUUAAACUUUUUUUUUUUUUUAUGACAAUAUACUAUGGUAUAAAUAUCGUUGUACAUUAAAUAUCAGAACACGGAGACUCAAAGAGGAUCGUAAGAUCCUGUCACUGAGAACCGUUUAACAAUGCAGUAAA